GCAGUGUUAACACGUGCACGUCUUUUCAUUUAUAGCCAGUUAUAAGUGUAAUAAGUAAUUGAAGGGCCUUACUUAUUUUAAAGGAACCGGAAAAGUUACCUGAUACGGACCGUCUAAGGUUGGCUACACACGGCCCUUCUCAUACCGAGCGUGACGAAACACCAUCAGGGCCUGAUAGGAUUUCCGUAUCCGAGCCUUAAAUCAAUACGGUCCCCAAGGGAGAAGAGUGGCAGGCAGGUAUAAUGAAUGGUAAGAAUGUGGUGGAGGAAGCGAUAAAGGAGUAAAAGGGGUUAGAAGAGACGGAGCA